UAUUUUUACUGCAGUUUUAGAUGUAAUCGGCAAUAUAGUUUGAACAGACCCUUUUCCAAAAGACUGCGUUCCCAUAAUUAUUGCUCUUUUAUGAUCUUGUAAAGCACCUGCCACAAUUUCAGAUGCUGAAGCUGAGCCACCAUUUAUUAAUACAACUAUGGGUUUCCCUUCAGCUAGAUCAGUAUUAUUUGAAGUGAAUUCAUAUACUGCAUUUUCAGUUUUCCCUUUAGUAAAAACUAGUUUCUUCUUACCUUUUAUAAAAGCAUCACUUACAUCAACUGCUGCACCAAGAACUCCACCAGGGUUGUUU
rnacentral:ncRNA from 1 species